rnacentral:rRNA from 1 species
UACAGAGGGCCCAAGCGUUGUUCGGAUUCACUGGGCGUAAAGGGUGCGUAGGCGGUCGGGUAAGUCUGAUGUGAAAUCUCACAGCUUAACUGUGAAACUGCAUUGGAUACUAUUCGGCUUGAGAGUUGGAGGGGGGACUGGAAUUCUUGGUGUAGCAGUGAAAUGCGUAGAUAUCAGGAGGAACACCGGUGGCGAAGGCGGUUCUCUGGGCAUUACCUGACGCUGAGGAGCGAAAGUGUGGGGAGCGAACAGG